AACGAACGCUGGCGGCAUGCCUAACACAUGCAAGUCGAACGAGACCUUCGGGUAUUGUUGCGCACGGGUUCGUAACCCGUGGGAACCUUCCCUUAUGGUCGGAAUAACUCUCCGAAAGGGGUGCUAAUACCAGAUAAUGUCUUCGAACCAAAGAUUUAUCUCCUUUGGAUGGGCCCGCGUUGGAUUAGCUAGUUGGUAGGGUAAAAGCCUACCAAGGCGACGAUCCAUAGCUGGUCUGAGAGGAUGAUCAGCCACACUGGGACUGAGACACGGCCCAGACUCCUACGGGAGGCAGCAGUGGGGAAUAUUGGACAAUGGGCGAAAGCAUGAUCCAGCAAUGCCGCGUGAGUGAUGAAGGCCUUAGGGUUGUAAAGCUCUUUUACCCGGGAUGAUAAUGACAGUACCGGGAGAAUAAGCUCCGGCUAACUCCGUG
rnacentral:rRNA from 1 species